CCUACGGGAGGUAGCAGUGGGGAAUCAUGGUCAAUGGGCGAAAGCCUGAACCUGCGACGCCGCGUGAGUGAUGAAGGUCGUAAGAUCGUAAAACUCUUUUCAGGGAUCUUAAAGCCUGUCUGUCAACAACAGGCAGGUCUGACUCUCCCUGGAAGAAGCCCCAGCCAACUACGUGCCAGCAGCUGCGGUAAUACGUAGGGGGCGAGCGUUCUUCGGAAUUACUGGGUGUAAAGGGUAUGUAGGCGGCCCUUCAAGUCGCGUGUCAAAGUCCAGGGCUCAACGCUGGGUGUGCACGCGAUACUGACGGGCUUGAGGGCUGGAGAGGUGAGCGGAAUUCCCGGUGUAGUGGUAAAAUACGUAGAGAUCGGGAGGAACACCAGCGGCGCAGGCGGCUCACUAGACAGUUUCUGACGCUAAGAUACGAAAGCGUGGGGAGCAAACA
rnacentral:rRNA from 1 species